AAGAAAGCUUGCUUUCUUUGCUGGCGACCGGCGCACGGGUGAGUAACACGUAUCCAACCUACCCUUUACUCGGGGAUAGCCUUUCGAAAGAAAGAUUAAUACCCGAUAGCAUAAUGAUUCCACAUGGUUUCAUUAUUAAAGGAUUCCGGUAAAGGAUGGGGAUGCGUUCCAUUAGGUUGUUGGUGGGGUAACGGCCCACCAAGCCUUCGAUGGAUAGGGGUUCUGAGAGGAAGGUCCCCCACAUUGGAACUGAGACACGGUCCAAACUCCUACGGGAGGCAGCAUG
rnacentral:rRNA from 1 species